rnacentral:rRNA from 1 species
CCCGUAGGGUAACCUGCGGAGGGAUCAUUACCGAGUUUACAACUCCCAAACCCCUGUGAACAUACCAAUUGUUGCCUCGGCGGAUCAGCCCGCUCCCGGUAAAACGGGACGGCCCGCCAGAGGACCCCUAAACUCUGUUUCUAUAUGUAACUUCUGAGUAAAACCAUAAAUAAAUCAAAACUUUCAACAACGGAUCUCUUGGUUCUGGCAUCGAUGAAGAACGCAGCAAAAUGCGAUAAGUAAUGUGAAUUGCAGAAUUCAGUGAAUCAUCGAAUCUUUGAACGCACAUUGCGCCCGCCAGUAUUCUGGCGGGCAUGCCUGUUCGAGCGUCAUUUCAACCCUCAAGCCCCCGGGUUUGGUGUUGGGGAUCGGCGAGCCCUUGCGGCAAGCCGGCCCCGAAAUCUAGUGGCGGUCUCGCUGCAGCUUCCAUUGCGUAGUAGUAAAACCCUCGCAACUGGUACGCGGCGCGGCCAAGCCGUUAAACCCCGAACUUCUGAAUGUGACCUCGGAUCAGGUAGGAAACCCAAUUUCCA